rnacentral:rRNA from 1 species
UACGUAGGGGGCUAGCGUUGUCCGGAAUCAUUGGGCGUAAAGCGCGUGUAGGCGGUCCGGUAAGUCCGUUGUGAAAGUCCAGGGCUCAACCCUGGAAUGCCGAUGGAUACUGCGGAGCUAGAGUCCGGAAGAGGCGAGUGGAAUUCCUGGUGUAGCGGUGAAAUGCGCAGAUAUCAGGAGGAACACCAAUGGCGAAGGCAGCUCGCUGGGACGGUACUGACGCUGAGACGCGAAAGCGUGGGGAGCAAACAGG